CACAGUAGGGUCCUCUUGGAGGUCCUCGUGCGUGCCUGAGCAAAUAAUAGUGAAUUAUCACCCAUAUCCCAAAUAUCGAGGAAUAAUUCGUUCACUAGUAUUACUCUAGGAAAUUCAGUGAAAAUGAACCUCAAUUACUCGUAAAUCGAGAUUCGAGAGAGGUUUGAUAACAUUCAACACUAUUUAAGUCUUUAUCUAGGAAAUCGGGGAUAAAACGUUUAGAUAAUAUCAAAAGAAUAAAGAGUUCUUGAAAAACUCUAUUUCCUUGAAAGUUGGAAAAAUUUCAGUUUUGUUAUGAAUCUUAGAAAAAUCGUAACUCACUCGGCAUAAGUCAAGAAUUGGAAAACUUUAUACCGUUGAAAACCUCUUAGAAAGUACUGCAAGUUCCUAGAAGACACUUUUCCAUGAAUCGAAGUGCAAAGUGCUCAAAAAUGAGCCUAAAGUUUCUGUUCCAAAUCACCCAGGAUUGAGCCGGGGUUGGUUUUUCGCUAACUUUGAAAAUUUGGCAGAAUUCACUCGUUGCAAACCAGCCCUUGAAAUUUAUAGCUCAAUUAGAGGUACAAGUAAGGUUUAGGUCAGAACAAACGGAUCGAGAAUCGGAGUUUCGAGCACCAAGAUAUGGUAGCUCAAAGUUGGGAAAAAUUCAAGACUGUUACAAAAUUUCCAGAUUUGGUUCCAACUUUGGACCUUUAGUUAAGUGCGAAACGGACUUGGAUUGACACCAAAUUUUGCAGUAUAAUACUUCCAUAUGAAGGUUAUCUCUCUAUCAAAUUUCAUGGAAAAAUACCCUCGGAAGGGGGUCAUUCAAUCAACCAAAGUUUGGAAAAUCCUUAAGGCAAUCUGUCCAAAUCUAAGAUUUUCAAAACGAGCAGUCGCCGUAUUUUGAUCAUAACUCUCUCAAUUUAACUCGGAAUUGGGAAUGGUUGAUAGUGUUAGAAAAUAAAUUCAUAGGGCUACAACUUCACAGAAGAAAUCGUUCCAUGUUUCGGCAUGCAACUGGUUCAAAAUCAAGCCUCAAGUUGCAGCAUCAUCAAAUCAUUUCGGCAGAACGGAGAAACAGGACAGUCGACUUCAGAUGAAUGGUGUGGCUCACACACAUGAAACCAGAAUGUGCAUUAUACACCGUUGGAAACAUGGGAACGUAUAGUUUCAAAUUCCGCUGACGGAACUUGAUUUCGACAUCGGAGCAUGGAGUUAUGGACAAAAUACAACCACUGGUCUGGAUUACGGCGAAACCGUUUUCCAGAUUACCAAUUUUUGAAAUAAAUUCGUUUGAGCAACCAAAACUCAAUAUUUUUCAACGAAAUUUUGUACACAACUUCUAAAACAUGUAAACAACAUAAUCAAGCCUUUAAAUCCUCAAUUAUCUGCAGUAAAGUGACCGAACAGAGCAGGGGUAAAAUGGGAACUUUUUGUUUCGAGAGUUAAACAACGUUUCUGUCAAGAAUGCACCUUUAAUCUACUUCCUUAAGCUCUAAUUCAGCAAAUAAACCAUCAUCAAACAUCAUCACAGCCAUCAACCAAAGUGGGAGUUCAUAGAGCCCACAUUUCCAACAAUACAAGCUAUUAAAGCAAAGAUUCCAACUCAAAUGCGUAAAUCAACUUCCAUAAGACAAGUUGAAGGUGUUAGAUUGCUACCUACUUUGAUGGCUGGUUUGGACAGAUUUUUCGGUCCUUUGAAGCUUGAAGAAACCGUGAAAGCUCCUCCCUUUUUCAGCCUAUGUUGUUGUCCAAGUGAAAAGCUAAAUGAAUGUGAAGUUUGAUGAGAAUCUAUGGAAGUUUUGGUAGGAAUUUGGUUGAGUUUUGGAAGAAAGGAAAUGAUGAAGCUUCGGUUGUUCCUUUGCUGCAGUCUAGCCGUCCAUUGCAGCAGAGGAAAGGAAAUGAAUUGCGGUUCCGAAGCCUUUGCGUAUAAGAGACGCUUGACGUCAAAUCUUUUAAUACGUCAAAUCAAUUAUAACUAGUACCCUACAC
rnacentral:lncRNA from 1 species